CAAACGGUCCUUUUCAGGACCACAAAAAAUCUUUCCUAUAGAGUUAU
rfam:Aedes albopictus isolate Foshan contig151898, whole genome shotgun sequence.